UGCCAGCCGCCGCGGUAAUACGGAGUGUGCAAGCGUUGUUCGGAAUCACUGGGCGUAAAGCGCGCGUAGGCGGCAAGGUAAGUCAGAUGUGAAAUCCCUCGGCUCAACCGAGGAACUGCAUUUGAAACUGCCUGGCUUGAGUACGGGAGGGGAGAGCGGAAUUCCCAGCGUAGAGGUGAAAUUCGUAGAUAUUCGGAGGAACACCAGUGGCGAAGGCGGCUCACUGGGCCUGUCCUGACGCUCAGGUACGAAAGCGUGGGGAGCGAACGGGAUUAGAUA
rnacentral:rRNA from 1 species